AGCGGCGAACGGGUGAGUAACACGUGGGUGAUCUGCCUUGCACUUCGGGAUAAGCCUGGGAAACUGGGUCUAAUACCGGAUAUGACCACGGAAUGCAUGUUCUGUGGUGGAAAGAUUUAUCGGUGCGAGAUGGGCCCGCGGCCUAUCAGCUUGUUGGUGAGGUAACGGCCCACCAAGGCGACGACGGGUAGCCGACCUGAGAGGGUGACCGGCCACACUGGGACUGAGACACGGCCCAGACUCCUACGGGAGGCAGCAGUGGGGAAUAUUGCACAAUGGGCGAAAGCCUGAUGCAGCGACGCCGCGUGCGGGAUGACGGCCUUCGGGUUGUAAACCGCUUUUGACAGGGACGAAGCGCAAGUGACUGUACCUGUAGAAUAAGGACCGGCCAACUACGUGCCAGCAGCCGCGGUAAUACGUAGGGUCCGAGCGUUGUCCGGAAUUACUGGGCGUAAAGAGCUUGUAGGCGGUUCGUCGCGUCGUUUGUGAAAACUUGGGGCUCAACCUUAAGCUUGCAGGCGAUACGGGCGGACUAGAGUACUUCAGGGGAGACUGGAAUUCCUGGUGUAGCGGUGAAAUGCGCAGAUAUCAGGAGGAACACCGGUGGCGAAGGCGGGUCUCUGGGAAGUAACUGACGCUGAGAAGCGAAAGCAUGGGUAGCAAACAGGAUUAGAUACCCUGGUAGUCCAUGCCGUAAACGGUGGGUACUAGGUGUGGGGCUCCUUCCACGGACUCCGUGCCGUAGCUAACGCAUUAAGUACCCCGCCUGGGGAGUACGGCCGCAAGGCUAAAACUCAAAGAAAUUGACGGGGGCCCGCACAAGCGGCGGAGCAUGUGGAUUAAUUCGAUGCAACGCGAAGAACCUUACCUGGGUUUGACAUACACCGGAAACCUGCAGAGAUGUAGGCCCCCUUGUGGUCGGUGUACAGGUGGUGCAUGGCUGUCGUCAGCUCGUGUCGUGAGAUGUUGGGUUAAGUCCCGCAACGAGCGCAACCCUUAUCUUAUGUUGCCAGCGCGUAAUGGCGGGGACUCGUGAGAGACUGCCGGGGUCAACUCGGAGGAAGGUGGGGACGACGUCAAGUCAUCAUGCCCCUUAUGUCCAGGGCUUCACACAUGCUACAAUGGCCGGUACAGAGGGCUGCGAUACCGCGAGGUGGAGCGAAUCCCUUAAAGCCGGUCUCAGUUCGGAUCGGGGUCUGCAACUCGACCCCGUGAAGUUGGAGUCGCUAGUAAUCGCAGAUCAGCAACGCUGCGGUGAAUACGUUCCCGGGCCUUGUACACACCGCCCGUCACGUCAUGAAAGUCGGUAACACCCGAAG
rnacentral:rRNA from 1 species